UCCUGGUUAACCCAGGCAGUCUCAUUAGAGUUCCCACCUAAUAUGUUGGCAACUAAUGAUAAGGGUUGCACUCGUUGCUGGACUUAACCAAACACCUCACGGCACGAGCUGACGACAGCCAUGCAGCACCUGUGUAAAGGCCCCGAAGGGAAAUACUGUUUCCAGUAUCGUCCUCUACAUGUCAAAUCUGGGUAAGGUUCUUCGCGUUGCAUCGAAUUAAACCACAUGCUCCACUGCUUGCGCGGGUCCCCGUCAAUUCUUUUGAGUUUCACCCUUGCGAGUGUACUCCCCAGGCGGUAUACUUAACGCGUUCGCUUCGGCACAACUAGGGUUGAUUCCAGUUACACCAAGUAUACAUAGUUUACGGCAAGGACUAC
rnacentral:misc_RNA from 1 species